ensembl:lncRNA
UCAAGAAAAAAAACAAAAGGGGUAACACUGUCGUUUUUAUUGGUCGUCAUGAAAAAAAACAUAAGGGGUAACACUGUCGUUUUUUAUUGGUCGUCAUGAAAAAAAACAUAAGGGGUAACACUGUCGUUUUUUAUUGGUCGCCAUGAAAAAAAAUAUAAGGGGUAACACUGUUGUUUUUUAUUGGUCGUCAUGAAAAAAAACAUAAGGGGUAACACUGUUGUUUUUUAUCGGUCGUCUUGAAAAAAAACAUAAGGGGUAAUACUGUUGAUAUUUAUCAAUCAAAACAUAGGGGGUAACACUGUUGUUUUUAUCAAAUGAAACAUGAGGUCAUAUAUAACCUCAGACAUAAUUAAAUUACAUAUCUCAGUGGGAAGUGGAGAGAGCUGUGAGCUAUCCCCCUGGAGACCGGGGUUCAAGUCUGGUUGAAGUCUUCUGUUGGAAGUCUCUUAUUUCUAUUUCAUGCGAAUUAUAAAGUCAAGUAUAACCAUUGUGAUGACUUCAUUCGGUGUCUUGAUGGUGCUUUGAUAAGUUCGGAGGUUUACACUCUAAACAGCUCAGGUACGGAUCCCUGCAAAAACCUCGACAGGGGUACCACUGUUGUUUUUUAUUGGUCGUCAUGAAAAAAAACAUAAGGGGUAACACUGUUGUUUUUUAUUGGUUGUCAUGAAAAAAAACAUAAGGGGUAACACUGUUGUUUUUUAUUGGUCGUCAUGAAAAAAAACAUAAGGGGUAACACUGUUGUUUUUAUUG